rnacentral:misc_RNA from 1 species
AGGAAAGAGCUGUUCGGUGAUUGACCAAUGUCACGAGUCGGCCUUUGUGCCUGACUUAUGGUGUCUUUGGCUUGAUGUCGAAGGCCUCGUAAGCUGCCUCCCGAGUAGGAACUUCGAAUUUGGUGAUGCCACAUCGGGGGAACUGCGAAAAUGUGAUGAUCAACCUAGGAUUGCACUAAUUGUUGUAUGGCAUGGAUGAGGGCGAGAGACACAACGUGUGUCCUUUUGUAGGAUUGGCGUGUGUCUUUUUUUCGACCGUCAUACAGUGAUCGUAAGAUGCAUUCCGAGUGGAGACCUUGUGGUGUGUUUUGUUCAAAUUGGUUCUCUUCGUAUCGUGCGGUACAUUUUGGGGUCGUAUUUGGCAUUCGGUUGUUUGCUUGGCUCUUUAGCCUUGCGGGUGACCGUUUCCCAUGGCGGCUUCGGGGAUGUUUAUCGUGAAGGUGCAUGAGUGGUGUUUGGUUUGAUACGGGUGGUUGGCUCCCUGCUUGAGCAGGCACGACCUCACGUCCAUUCCUUUUCAGUUGUGCGGCAAGGCUUGUAUUGUCUUGAUCGUAUAUGUGGGUUUCCUGUGUUGCAUACCUGAUCAACGGCAUCGUUUUGAUCAAAAACGUACGUUUUUCAUCUGGCGUUGCACAACAACGUCGGAUGAACCAUGUAGCAUCCUUUUUGAUCCAUAUAGUCGAUGAGAUUUCGUUGAUUGUUUGGCUCGUUAAGGGUGGCUUGGUCUCUCGGAUAUGGAAGCCAAAGUGGGCAUGGGUUCGUAUGAUCCUCUUAAUGCCCUCGUUGAGCGUUCUCGCUUCUCUUACACGACCGCCUUUCACGUAUGGCACGUCCCAGCGUGUUUGGCUAUGUCGAAGAGGAAUGU